UACGAAGGGGGCUAGCGUUGCUCGGAAUCACUGGGCGUAAAGGGUGCGUAGGCGGGUCUUUAAGUCAGGGGUGAAAUCCUGGAGCUCAACUCCAGAACUGCCCUUGAUACUGAGGAUCUUGAGUUCGGGAGAGGUGAGUGGAACUGCGAGUGUAGAGGUGAAAUUCGUAGAUAUUCGCAAGAACACCAGUGGCGAAGGCGGCUCACUGGCCCGAUACUGACGCUGAGGCACAAAAGCGUGGGGAGCAAACAGG
rnacentral:rRNA from 1 species